AACGAACGCUGGCGGCAGGCUUAACACAUGCAAGUCGAACGCACCUUUCGGGGUGAGUGGCAGACGGGUGAGUAACACGUGGGAACGUACCCUUUUGUUCGGAAUAACCCUGGGAAACUAGGGCUAAUACCGGAUACGCCCUAACGGGGAAAGGUUUACUGCAGGAGGAUCGGCCCGCGUCCGAUUAGCUAGUUGGUUGGGGUAAUGGCUCACCAAGGCGACAAUCGGUAGCUGGUCUGAGAGGAUGGCCAGCCACAUUGGGACUGAGACACGGCCCAAACUCCUACGGGAGGCAGCAGUGGGGAAUAUUGGACAAUGGGCGCAAGCCUGAUCCAGCCAUGCCGCGUGAGUGAUGACGGCCUUAGGGUUGUAAAGCUCUUUUACCUGGGAAGAUAAUGACGGUACCAGGAGAAUAAGCCCCGGCUAACUUCGUGCCAGCCGCCGCGGUAAUAC
rnacentral:rRNA from 1 species